rnacentral:lncRNA from 1 species
AACAAUUCAUUUUAACAAUUAAAAAUUUACGUAAUUCGGAAAAAACAAAAACGGACACUUUUCCCCCGCGCUGUAGCGCGGAUCCGGAUCUAGUUUAGUGCAUAAAGGAAGCUAUUUUGUGAUGAUUUUUUUAUAUUUUUUUUGGGUGCAAAUUAUGAAGGAUUUUUUAAAAACCAGGUUUUGUAGUCGAUUAAAGAAACAAAUUUUCUUUAUUACUCAUAAAAAUGGAAACAAAUUUUACAAAAAACAAAAAAAAAUGUAAAACAAAAAACUUUUACAAAUAAGUUCAUGUGGGUCACGGACUCACACUGCUGGACUCGGAC